rnacentral:pre_miRNA from 1 species
AUUCUACUCCCCCCGUCCGGAAAUACUUGUCAUCAAAAUGGAUGAAAAUGGAUGUAUCUAGAACUAAAAUACAUCUAGAUACAUCCAUUUCAAUGACAAGUAUUUCUGGACGGAGGGAGUAUUUU